rnacentral:ncRNA from 2 species
AUCAGGUGGCGCCGCGCUGGCCCUGCACCAUAGGACAGGCCAAGAGGGAAUGCGAGUGGGCCCCGGCCCGAAACGCAGCCGCCCCCGCGACCGUGACCGGAAAGGUCGCCCAUUGCCACUGGCCCCCACGGGCCGGGAAGGCCGGGCGAGCGUUGGGCGCCCCGCAAGCGCGCCCUGGAUCCGCAAGCCGGGAGACCUGCCAGCGCAGGACGUGAACG